rnacentral:rRNA from 1 species
GAUGAACGCUAGCUACAGGCUUAACACAUGCAAGUCGAGGGGAAACGAUAUUGGAAGCUUGCUUCUGAUAGGCGUCGACCGGCGCACGGGUGAGUAACGCGUAUCCAACCUGCCCAUCACUUGGGGAUAACCUUGUGAAAGUAAGACUAAUACCCAAUGACGUCUCUAGAAGACAUCUGAAAGAGAUUAAAGAUUUAUCGGUGAUGGAUGGGGAUGCGUCUGAUUAGCUUGUUGGCGGGGUAACGGCCCACCAAGGCGACGAUCAGUAGGGGUUCUGAGAGGAAGGUCCCCCCANAUUGGAACUGAGACACGGUCCAAACUCCUACGGGAGGCAGCAGUGAGGAAUAUUGGUCAAUGGACGAGAGUCUGAACCAGCCAAGUAGCGUGCAGGAUGACGGCCCUAUGGGUUGUAAACUGCUUUUAUAAGGGAAUAAAGUGGGAGUCGUGACUCUUUUUGCAUGUACCUUAUGAAUAAGGACCGGCUAAUUCCGUGCCAGCAG